rnacentral:rRNA from 1 species
GACGAACGCUGGCGGCGUGCUUAACACAUGCAAGUCGAACGGAAAGGCCCUGCUUUUGUGGGGUGCUCGAGUGGCGAACGGGUGAGUAACACGUGAGUAACCUGCCCUUGACUUUGGGAUAACUUCAGGAAACUGGGGCUAAUACCGGAUAGGAUCUCCUGCUGCAUGGUGGGGGUUGGAAAGUUUCGGCGGUUGGGGAUGGACUCGCGGCUUAUCAGCUUGUUGGUGGGGUAGUGGCUUACCAAGGCUUUGACGGGUAGCCGGCCUGAGAGGGUGACCGGCCACAUUGGGACUGAGAUACGGCCCAGAAUCCUACGGGAGGCAGCAGUGGGGAAUAUUGCACAAUGGGCGGAAGCCUGAUGUAGCAACGCCGCGUGCGGGAUGACGGCCUUCGGGUUGUAAACCGCUUUCGCCUGUGACGAAGCGUGAGUGACGGUAAUGGGUAAAGAAGCACCGGCUAACUACGUG